UUUUUUUUUUUUUUUUUGUAUUUUUGUAUUUGUUUUUCAUUUGAUACUUUGUUAUGUAAAAUUCUCUUGAUAAAUAUUGACGAUCCAAACCGUUAUCGAAAAACCUGUACGAGACUUAUGAGUUGAUAACGUAAGAAAAGGGGUUAGAUAUUGCAAAUAUAUAAUCACAUAAAUCUAAUUUAUAAUUAAAAUAAAUAAUUAUAAUUGUAAAAUCAAGAACACAAGAUGAACAUGAAGAACACCAAUGUUUCCAACUCGGAUGUAGGAGGAGAGGAAAAAUUAAAAUCGAGUCGUGUGUCUCACACGCUUUUCUUAAGACAAGUUAUGCCUCCUCUUUCAGUGCAAAAUGUUUGAUGUCACUUGUCUCCCAGGAUACAACGACUGCUUGUGCUUUUAGAACUGCACUACUACCAAGAACACCCAACGAACUUGUUGUACCUUCUUUCUAUCACUAGAAAACUAAAACUAGAGAAUGAGAGAGACCUUAAGAGAAGAGAAGAUUAUUUUAGUUGGUGUGUUUAGAAUGAGGGAAGAGGUCACCUAUUUAUACAUGGGGAAACCUUAGAAUCACUUGAAUGUCAUGAAUAUGAAUUCAUGAGUUACAACCCUUUCACCUUUGGUGUAGUUAACACCUUGUAAUGUUACAACCUUUCAUAACACCACAACCAUUCCAUUUAACAUCUUAUGAUGCUAUAGAAUCCAAACAACCAUGGAAGGUGAAAAGUAUAAAACCGUUUCAAGUAUUCAACUUUGGGUGACUAUUCUCAUUCACCCUAUAACCCACUUAAAUUAUCCAAUUUAAAAUGGUUAAAUAAAAUAGUGAUUUUCACCAUUUUUUCCAACAGAUAGUGUGGUUGGUUUAAGGAAAUCCGGCUCGGUCAGGAACCAGGGUAUAUGAUUAGCCAGAUUAACUAGUACUACCAAGUGCUUCAAAUUCAUGGCUAUCUAUCAAACUCAUGGAAGCAAAUCCAAACUUGGAAUGUCCUUCCAUUGACACAACACAUGUCUCUAUGAACUCAUUUUAUCAUAUUCAGUAUCAACCAACCAUCUGUACGGGCCAAUGUGCCAUUGCUUAAAAGUAAAGUGGAUGAGAGAUUAAAGCCAGUUAGGUUCUCUAGGUUCUUCAUCUCUCAGAUGAAUAUCAGCCUAAAAGAUAAUCCAAUAAUGAGCACAAUUUUAAAAAGGAGAUUCAAGGUUGAACAAAUAGGAGAUAUGUAAGAAGGUAAACAAAUAAAGAAGAAAAAAAUUAACUCAAAAAAUGGGCAGAAGCAACAAGAAAGAAAGAAGAAUAUGAAUCAGAAAGAAUAUAGCGAAGAGUAUUUGAUUUUAAUGAUCACAUGAAUCAUCCAUCACUCUUGUAAUACUUUCAUCAUCUUCAUCAAACCAUCGUUAACAAGAACUCAAAAUGAGAGAGACUGUGAGAGACUGCAGAGCAGAUAGAGACCUCGAACCUCAUUCCACUAUACAAAAGCUGGAAUAUUCACUCAUCUUCCACUCAAAAUAUAACUCCCGGGAGAUGCACAAAGCUGACAAGACAUCAGCAAUAUGCCAUAACCUGCCUUGAACUCCACCUCCUGCUUAAAAGUUCUAACAUGUUGGGUUGGUCAGUUUACAAGUCUACUAAUCUUAUACGGUGGGAAAGAAUCAAAUACGAAAAAGCACCGACCAAAGAAAAAGCAACUGAAAAUUUCAGUAUUGAACAGAUUAUCAAACGCUAGAGAACUUCAUGCUAAACCAGAUCAUCAAAACAUUAAAUUGGGUAGUAUCUAAUCAAAAUACUUCAUAAGCAGCUACUACUUAUAUUUGUGAGCAGAAUUGCUUCCUUGCACAAUUGAACUACUAUUGCAACUCCUGCUAAAACUAGAAAUCACGUGGAAGCAUUCAUUCACCCUUGCUAUGAAAACUAUAGGGUACAAAAUUGAUGGAUUGGGGAAGAAGAAAGAUACCAGAUUACACAAACUAGUGAGAGAUGACAAAAUAGAAUUAAAACAAGUGAACUGUUACAGCAGAGGUCAGAGCUUUACCCUCUCUCAAUCCUCACAGGGAGAAAGGGAAACUAUACCAAAACCUGAACAAAGCCUUGAAAUCUCCUCCACAACCACCAAAAUUAGCAAAGAUUCAGUCAAUGAGGUCUGGAGUAGCAUUACUAUUCCUCCUGAAAAGGGCAAAAUAGCCCAAAACAGCACAAACAGCAGCCACCAAAUUGCCCUCCUUCAACAAAAUCUUGAACACAAUCACCACAAUCUCCCUAGUAAUCUUCCUGCCUUCGACGACCAAAGCCCUCCUGGGCUUCCCAAAAAAGGCCAAGAGAACCACAAUCGCAAUCCAAGUCACCAAGGUGGCGGGCACCAACACCGCCAGCGCUGCAAACAUGGAGAGCAGCCCGAAAACCGCGCCGAGCAGCACGGAGGCGUAGAGGGCCGGCCACCCAGAUGACGACGGCGAAGGCAGGCCUUGUAAUUUGUACCACGAGAGUAUGGAUUUGAGGAAAUUCCAAGAGCUAGUUAAGAGGAUCGCAUAGACCAGCACAAAAAUACAUACCCAGGUUCUCCUUUUGCUCAUGAUUCUGAGGAACACCAAGUAAUACGAGGGCGGCGGUGCUGCGUCUUGUUCUUCCUCGUUGUUGUCUGCCAUAUGUGGAACUUAACGAACACCUUGUUGUGUCUCUUAAUAUCAGUGGGCUGCUCUGGGACUUUGGGUUUUGGUCGGAUGAUGUUCUUGAAUGAGUCAAUCUGAGAAUAAAUUAUGGAAAACAAAGUAUAUAUAUCAUCUGCACCCAAGCAAAGAAAAAUGGGAAAGAUAAUUAUCAUCACUAUUCAUCACAAUAGGUGAAAAGCACGCACUUGAAUGUGUCGCGAGUAAGGCACUCUACUCCACGCGCGUCCCAAAUUCAGACAUUAUUUUCUCUACUAAUUUGGAAAAGGGAAAUGAUUAUAUAUAAAGCACGCCGUUCUUAAUUUUUAAAUCCCCGGAGAAUAUUGUGCGUCUGAAGAAAAGCAGCUUUUGCAUUUCCGCGGGCAACUCUAUAUCAAUGAGGUUGCCAUUGUUGAAAGUAAAAUGGAAUCAUAUACUUGGCACCGUCCAACAAGUUUCCCUCUUUCAUGAUACAUUUCUCUUCACCGAUCUAGAAGAGCAGGGACGGAGGAUAGUGGAACUGUCUCUGGGCUGUAGCCCAGACAGUUUUUCUCCAAUUUUCAAAUAGACUAGAUCAUAUUAUAUGAAUAAACAGGUAUAUAUACCAAUAGCCCAUAUAAAAAAUAUUUAAAAGAAGCCAAAACCUACUAUAUUAUACUAAAUGAGGAUCGGAAUAUGCCACCUCCACGGUUCCACCUUUUAUUUUUUCUAAAAAGAGGCAUUGGUUCAUAUUAAGUUUUCUUCUUCUUCUUUUUUCUUUUUCUUUUUUGUUUUGGGAAUGGUCCAUAUUAAGUUCUAGUCUCCAGCUGUUGCAAAACAUAAGGCUCGUCUUCAUUUUUUUCUUCGACUAUAACAUUUUUUGGUUUAUGUUAUUUUUUUAGUUUUUCAACAAAUAGUUUUUCCUUCAAUUUUAUUCAAUUCUCAAAACAUGUUAUGUGCUAUCAAUCGAUAUUGACAUUUUGAGGAUGUGAAUCUGAUUAUUUUCUGAAAUUCAAUAUCACUUCUACUCUUAUAGAUUGAUCUUCUUAAUAUCAGCUGUUAAGAAGCCAAAAAUAUUUUCUUAAUGCAAAUACAAGCAUUAUAAAUUUAUAAUUUUCAUACAUUUUAUUAAAGAAAAUUUAGCCCAGGUGAUUUUGGAAUCCUGGCUCCGUCCCUGUAGAAGAGUAAAAACUAAGUCGCAUGGAAUUAGAUACAAAUACGUACAAACGAAGUGUUUAUAAUUCAGAAGCGUUUUUUUUGUUCAUAUUUAAAAACGGGUACGUUUCGAAAUGUCUGAUCAAAAUAAUAUAUUAAUUUAUUUUUUAUUAAUAAAGCCAAAUGUUUGUCUGAAUGGUUAAAUUUGUUAAGUAUCUGCAUAUUUGUUUGUGUUGAUCAAAGUUGGUUUGGCGGUUUCCAAUGAGCUUUGCAGUUUCAGAUGAUUAUGUGCUUAUCAAAUGUUGAUUGCAUUUGCAUGUGUCUGUGUUAACUCUAGUAGAUCAUGUUUUGAAAAGAGAAUUUAACACUCAUCUUGUGUUAACAAACAAGUGAUCGAAGUAAUUAUUAAUGUUUUUCUACCCCAGUUUGCUUAGUUAUUUCUUUAAUAAUCUCAUUAUAUCUUACUAAUUUGUAUUUAGGUACAAAUGAGUAAAGAACGUCAAGAAUGAGUUAAGGAGCGUGAAAUAAGGCAAGGAUGCAGAGAGAUGAAGAAAAAUAGCUUUAGGAGAAGCUAUCGCGCCAUUAUCACCAUUUAUGGGCUAGGGAAAAUUUUGGUUGUACUUGAAGUUUGGCCAACUAAGAAUUUCUAUGCCUCAAAUUCUAAAAUAUAAACAUUGGUACAUCACAUCGCAAUUUCGACUAAACAUACAUAUACAACAUCAUUAAUGAUGUUAAAUUGUGUGACAUAUGUCAUAUUUUAAGGGGUAAAACAGUCUCUUUCUCCCCCUCACUUCACUUAUUUUUAAUUUUUUUGUUCAGACCCUCCUCACUUCACUUCACUUCACUUAGUUUACUUCUUUGAUUUUUCUUCUUACAACCCAAGCCCUCUACUGAUCAUCAACAUUGUCGUCCUAGACACCUUGAUUGCCAGAGCAAUGGAGGAGUAGAGGAUCUGAAUUAAGGCGAGAGGGAGCAAGACGUAGAAGUCCUCUCAGGUUUGAAUCAGAUCGAACUGGAAAAAGACCAGAUCGUUCAGUGGCGGAGGACGUUGAGGUCACCGUCGGUGAAAUAAGGAACGACUUGGGCCAAAUACUCGUCGUAGGACCUGAGGAGACACAGCCAAAAUGAGUGCAGAUUGUGGACUACCUGUAAUCGGUGGUGAGGAUGAAGGUAGGAUUAGAUUUAGGGCUUUUGUAGGAUUAAAAUUAGGAUUGGUUUUAUGGGUAUGAGUUUGGAAGGUCUUGUGCAGUGAUGAUCGCAAUCAUAGAAGAGGGAAUUACCAAAAUAAUCUUUGACAAUAAAUAAUGACAUAAAGUUUAACGGUGUUAUUGACGUCGGGUACAAAUUAAUACUGAGUCGGGUAUGUAUUGGAACUUGAUUUACAGAAAUUCAUAGUGGGUCUAAUUUCAUGUAUUUUUCUUGAAAUUUUCAGGCUACAAAUAUCUAAGUAGUGUAGUCUGGGCCAAGAGUUGAAGAUUUUAUAAUCCAUACAUGGGCCUAGACUCAUGAGUUGGAACCCUAACCUAAGAGAAGCUAUCUUUACCGUUCAAAGAGGGAGAGAAGGGAGUGACGGCCAACCAACAAUUAAGGAUAAUAAUCAUUCUCCAAGUCAAAUAAAGAAAGGAGAUUGUGUUAAAGACAAAUCCACGAUAAAUCAGAAUCUAAGCCAUCUAUGGAUGGAAUGCUACAAAUGUCUCAUGAGGCAGUGGUUUGCAUCCUGGUUAACGUCUUCCGAGGCAGCGACUUUAUCGUCCAGGCAGCGGGUCUGCUUCUUUUGGGAGAGAGAGAGAGAGAGAGAGAGAGAGAGAGAGAGAGAGAGAGAGAGAGAGAGAGAGAGAGAGANAGNNNNNNNNNNNNNNNNNNNNAAAACUACUACACCUAGACCUACACAUCUAGCAUCCCUAUCACAUGCCCCAUCAAAGAAAAGUGUAACCUCUUGAUUAUGCCUAUUAUUAUCCCUCUCACCUCCCUCUGCAUUAUGAUCAGUUGUAUUGGCGUGAGUCAUACCAUAUAAUAUUAGGAUUGUAAAUAUUCUGUUAUUAUUAGGAAUAUCCUGUCAUAGUUAGUUUCCUAAUAGGUUUUGAUAUCUCUUGUAUAUAUACUCCGUUCUUGGAGAAUGUUAAUAUAUCGAAACGUUCAUAUUCUCUUGAUACCGUUUGACUUGGUAUCAGAGCCGAGAUCCUCUCGGACUUGGUUUAUUAUUUCCGCUGCAAACUCAGGGUUCUUUUGAUUUGGUUAUUUGGUUGAAUUGGUUCCUUUUAGUCGAUUCUUGCUUGUUGGAGUUCUUGAUCAUUGAGGUUCUUUUGGUUUUUGGGAGUAUCUUUUGGGGAUCUUUUGUUGCUGAAGUUAUAAUAUUACUGGGGUUUCAUUCUUUCUCAUUGCUCGUCAAGUUAUUUUGUGAGAAGAAUUUGUUUACUUUAUUUUGGUGGUUGUGAUCAUCCAAGGACGUCAAAAGUUGAAGAAGACUUUGUUAAUUGCUUCAAGUGCUUGUGAUCAUUCAAGCACGUCAAGGAUCUGGGUCAAUUUUACUUGUUCUGAAAGUUUGUUAUUUGGUUGGUGAUCUGAAUAGUAAGAAAAAAAGGAGGAAGAAGAAGAAGAAGAAAAAAAAAUGGUGGAAUUGAAAGUAAUCGAAGGGGAGAAGGAAGCUUCUCAAAACUUGUCUUUCUAUGGCGCUGAAGGAGAAAAAAAUUUAAAGGGUAAUGUUUCCUUGACUAAGGAAACUCGAGGUAAAUUUGGUGUUGCUUUUCAUGUUGCUAACUUUACUGGUGGUGACACUUGGAUAAUUGAUUCUGGGGCGUCAGAUCAUAUGACCUAUGAUAAAUCCUUCUUUGUGUUCAUGUCAUCUUCGUCUAUAUCUCAUGUCUCAAAUGCAAAUGGUGCAUCUUUUCCAGUUUUAGGUAUUGGGUCUGUUCAGGUUACACCAUCCAUUAUAUUGCAUGAUGUACUUUAUGUACCCUCAUUAUCUCGCCAUCUUCUGUUUGUCUCCCAAUUGAGUUCACAAAAUAAGUGUUCUGUAACCUUUUACCCAAUGUAUACUGUGUUUCAGAUUUUGUGUUCCAGGGUGAUCAUUGGCAAGGGAGACUUGAGGGGGAGACUAUUUCACCUGGAUUGCAUGUACACUGAGUCGGCACAAGCACCGAAGCAACCUUUGGCCCUGACAUUGAAUUCUGAUCGAUUAAGUGAACUAUGGUUGUGGCAUAGACGGUUGGGCCACCCAUCUUUUGGAGUUAUUAAGAAGUCCAUGCCCUCAUUGUUUCUGGGAAUUAGUGAGUCUACAUUGCACUGCGAAACUUGUAGGGCUGGCAUUGGUAGGUAUACCAACUAUAUUUUGCAAUAACAUGUACCAACCAACUUAAAAUUGGUAGGCAAAAUCUUGUACCAAAACCAACCGUCAAAGUUGGUAUACCAACUUAGUUGGUACGGUUGGUACUCAGUUGGUACGGUUGGUAUUGGGCCUCUACCAAGUUUAAAUCGAGGCCCAAUAAACUGAAAGGCCCAGCUCAUUUAAAUCCUGUUUUUGGGCAUAUACCAAACUUCUAUCAAUUAUCAAACUAUUCAAAAUUCAAACACAUUCAAAGUUUCACACAUCAUAUAAUUUCAAAUGCAUAAACAAGCAAGAUCAAAAGUUCAAAAGUUCAAAUGCAACAAGCCAACAACGUCCAAAGUCUAAUUGCUAUGAGUAAGAGAAGAGAAGUUUUCAGAAAGUAAGAUAGAUCAUGCUAACCAAAAAGACAUCAUACAUAUAAACUUCUCUUCUCUUACUCAUAACAAUUAGAUAGAUCAUUGCAGAUUUGCAGUAUUGCAGAAAGUAAGUNNNNNNNNNNNNNNNNNNNNNNNNNNNNNNNNNNNNNNNNNNNNNNNNNNNNNNNNNNNNNNNNNNNNNNNNNNNNNNNNNNNNNNNNNNNNNNNNNNNNNNNNNNNNNNNNNNNNNNNNNNNNNNNNNNNNNNNNNNNNNNNNNNNNNNNNNNNNNNNNNNNNNNNNNNNNNNNNNNNNNNNNNNNNNNNNNNNNNNNNNNNNNNNNNNNNNNNNNNNNNNNNNNNNNNNNNNNNNNNNNNNNNNNNNNNNNNNNNNNNNNNNUCUAUCUCCUCAUUCAACCCUACCCUCUUCUUCUUCUCUCUCAUUCUCUCUAACUUGAACAGAAAUCAACAUUGCUACCCAAUUCACUCCUACUCUCUAACUAUCAAAAGGUCCAUUCUUUCUUACAAGCUAUCGGCAUUUCAUAAUCUACCUUCUAUUCAUCCAACAGAUGAAAUCAUAACUCUAAAGCCAAUGCAGAAUAAUCAAAACAAGCACAUAAGUGAAACACAACAAAUCAUAUCUCAAAGCCAAAUCACCAUCAAAAUGUUCACAGAGCAUAUAACACAAUCAACACAUAGAUUGAUAGAUAACAAUCAUAACACAUAGAUUGAUCAUUGAUAGAUACACAUAGAUAAUAGAUUGAUAGAUACAUACGGAGAUUCGAGGCUUGGUGCUGCGAAGUCGACGGCGAGUUGAGGCGCUGGCCUUCGUCGGAGAGUCUAGGCACUGCCCAACGCUGCCCUUUGUCGGAGAGUCGAGGCGCUGCCCAGCGCUGCCCUUCGUCAGAGAUUCGAGGAGCUGCCCAGCGCUGCCCUUCGUCGGAGAGUCAAGGCGCUGCCCUUAGCGCUGCCGAGUCGAUGUGGCCGAGGUGCUGCUGAGUUGACGACAAGAGAGGCGAGGUGGCUAGAAGGUGAGUCGAGGUGGCGGAGCCGUGGGGUGUUGCGAAGCAAAGAGAUGAGGCGAGAGGGGCGAGCGUGAGAGGUGACUCAGGUGAGUUACUGAGAAUAGAUCCACAGUCCACAGAGAUCAACGGCUUAGAUUAAUAAGUUUAAUUAUUAUUUUUUUUAAUAUAACUCGGUUGGUACAUGGUAUACUGUAUUUUGGGAAAAUCUGUACCAUGUACCAACCGACUUCUAAAACUUGGUACGGUAGUACUGUACCGACAACUCAGUUACCAACUACUUGGCAUACCAAUUUGUUUGGUACGGUUGGUACAUGGUUGGUUGGUAUCGUCAGGGUCCAAAUUGCCACCCCUAGAAACUUGUGCUUUGGCUAAAAGUCAUAGGUCUAGUUAUCCUUUGGCUUUUCAUUCGAGUACUAUGCCUUUCGAAUUAAUUCAUUCGGAUUUAUGGGGUCCUUCCAAAAAUUCCACUCUUUCUGGAAUGCGUUACUUUGUGUUAUUCAUUGACGAUUUUACUCGUUUGUCUUGGGUGGUGUUGCUUAAGUCCAAAGAUGCUGUUUUUUUCUGUCUUCACUGUCACAUCCCGACCCUUAUAUUUUUACCUUAUUUACUAGCGUGAUGAUAAUAAGAAUUUUACCGUCUCGAUCAUUGAGUAAAUAGUUUAAUUGGUCCCUAGAGGGGUUUCGGGGACGAUUAUGUGCGGAGGAUUAUUCGUAUGAGGAAAAUACGACGACGGUAAAAAUAGUAAAUUUUAGCUAGUAAAAGGUAAUUUUUUUAUUCGGGUAUUAUUUUUCGGGGUGUUGAAUUUUGGAAUUUUGGGUUAAAAGGGGUGUUGGGUCGGCUGGGCCGAGCCCAACCCAUUUCUUCUUCUUUCUCUUCUCCCUCUCUCCCGAUUCUCUCUCCUCCCACCCGAUUUUCUNNNNNNNNNNNNNNNNNNNNNNNNNNNNNNNNNNNNNNNNNNNNNNNNNNNNNNNNNNNNNNNNNNNNNNNNNNNNNNNNNNNNNNNNNNNNNNNNNNNNNNNNNNNNNNNNNNNNNNNNNNNNNNNNNNNNNNNNNNNNNNNNNNNNNNNNNNNNNNNNNNNNNNNNNNNNNNNNNNNNNNNNNNNNNNNNNNNNNNNNNNNNNNNNNNNNNNNNNNNNNNNNNNNNNNNNNNNNNNNNNNNNNNNNNNNNNNNNNNNNNNNNNNNNNNNNNNNNNNNNNNNNNNNNNNNNNNNNNNNNNNNNNNNNNNNNNNNNNNNNNNNNNNNNNNNNNNNNNNNNNNNNNNNNNNNNNNNNNNNNNNNNNNNNNNNNNNNNNNNNNNNNNNNNNNNNNNNNNNNNNNNNNNNNNNNNNNNNNNNNNNNNNNNNNNNNNNNNNNNNNNNNNNNNNNNNNNNNNNNNNNNNNNNNNNNNNNNNNNNNNNNNNNNNNNNNNNNNNNNNNNNNUUUAGUAGCUCUGAAUACUUUAGAAUUUUGUAUAUUAUGUGGUAUUCAGAAGCGUUAAAUUAAGAGUGUAAUAUGAAAUUUUCGAGUUAGGGUUGUCCAUCUGCAAGGGAGAUUUUCUUAAUCUUUUCAGUAAAUUUUCCUUGGAGGUGGUCCCCGCACGACUUACUCUGGGUUUCAGGGUGAAAUUCGGGAUGGGUCGUGUCAUUCACAGCCUUCCAUAAUCUUAUUCGUACUCAGUAUAAUGCAUGUGUUAAAAUAUUUCGUUCAGAUAAUGGAGGUGAGUUUGUCCAUCGUUCUUUCAAUGAGUAUUUCCAGAACCAUGGCAUCAUAGAUCAAACUUCGUGUCCACAAACACUUGAACAAAAUGGGGUGUCAGAACGGAAAAAUCGUCAUCUCUUGGACAUGGCACGGUCUCUCCUCCUAAGUGCUAACAUGCCUAAGUACCUUUGGGGAGGAGCCGUGUUAUGUGCGUCUCAUCUAAUUAAUCGUCUCCCGUCAGCCCCUCUUCAAGGUCGUAUUCCUUUUCAUGUCUUGUCUCAAUAUGUCCCUAUUCCGUCAUCAAAUACUCUUCUUGCUCGUGUCUUUGGUUGUGUUGCUUAUGUUCAUUUGUAUAAGAAUUAAAGGUCAAAAUUGGAUGCUAGAGGCCUUAAGUGUGUGUUUGUGAGAUAUGGUUCUCAUCAGAAAGGCUACAAGUGUUAUCAUCCACCAUCCCAAAGAUUUUAUGUCACCAUGGAUGUUACCUUCAAUGAAGAUGCAUGUUAUUUUUUGUCUCCUGUAACUCCUCGUAAGGGGGAGAAGUCAUGUUUUUAUGAAGAUUUGUUUAGUGAGCUAAUUGGGAGUCAAAGUGUUGAAGAGUCCAUAAAAGGAAAAAAAAAAGAAAGAUGGAGUGAACCAGUUUUACAAGAAAGUAAAAAAGGAGGCAGUAAGCAAGAUUUGCAUGACUUGUCGUCGUCCUCUGUUGACGUCGGUCACGCUGCUAAUUCGCUGACUGACCGACUUGCCAACUAGCUCGACUGACUUGCCAAUCCACUGCCCAACGUGCUCGGCGACCCACCUCCCAGCGAUCUCGCCGGCAGACCAGCCAAGCUCACCAACUGACCGAUCGGUCACUACAGAGUCAUCAAACUUCCAGGGACAUCCAAAUUCGCUGAUCGUAGCAGAGUUUCCUAGCCAGGCAGUUUGGAGCGCAGCACGACCCAGUUUGUCAUAUUCCGGCGAACCGAAUCGGUUUACUGAAAGCAGUAGCAUGGCCGACGCCGGCUCCGGCGUUCUGGGCAGUAAGGAGACUGAGUCUCCAAGUGAUAGCUUGACCGAGAAUUUGAUCAGUACACCCAUUGAUGUUUUGGGGGGUAGUAAUCCUACAGACUCGGUUUCACAUGCAACCAGUCAAUCCGUGUUAGUUGACAAUCAAGCUCAAUCUAGUUCGUCGGCAAGGGAGCAAAUUACUGAUGGAAAUCCUCAUGUGAACAGUACCCAUGUCUCUCCCUCUCUUGCACAGGUCUCUCAAGCUCAUGAAUCACCCGAGGUAUUUUCUAAUUCUUCUUCUGUGUCUACUAAUGUGCCUACCAAACAAUUGCCUAACCGUGUCACUCGUGGUCAGUCUCCAAAAUAUUAUGAACCUACUCUAAGUGCAAAAGCUCGGUACCCUAUUGCUAAUUAUGUGUCAACCCAUAGGCUGUCUAAACCAUAUGUUGCGUUUGUGAAUCAAUUAUCUAGUGUGUCUCUCCCUAGUAAAGUGCAGGAUGUAAUGCGGGAAGAUGGAUGCAGGAAAUGAAAGCUGAGAUGGAUGCUCUUGAGAAGAAUUGUACGUGGGAGUUAGUGCCAUUACCACCCGGGAAGAGCUGGUUAGUUGUCGGUGGGUGUAUACUGUGAAACAUAAUUCUGAUGGUUCGGUGGACAGGUACAAGGCGAGGUUAGUAGCGAAAGGCUACACUCAGAAGUAUGGGGUGGUUUAUGAUGAGACAUUUGCACCAGUGGCCAAAAUUAACACAAUUUGAGUACUUCUUUCGUUAGCCGCUAACCUUGAUUGGCCUUUGCAGCAAUUUGAUGUUAAGAAUGCAUUCUUGCAUGGUGAUCUGCAUGAAGAAGUUUAUAUGGAUUUGCCUCCUGGAUAUCGUACUUCUACUAGAGAGCAGGUGGUGUGCAAGUUGAAGAAGUCUCUUUACGGUUUGAAACAGUCUCUUAGAGCAUGGUUUAGCCGGUUCACCAAGUUCAUGAAGGAAAUUGGAUACCGGCAGAGCAAUUUAGAUCACACCUUGUUUCUUAAACAUAGGUGUGGUAACAAGGUGUGGUAAAGUGACUGCCUUAAUUAUUUAUGUUGAUGACAUGAUUGUGACAGGUGAUGACAUUGAGGAGAUUCAAAGGUUACAAGGUCAGUUAUCUUCUGAAUUUGAGAUGAAAGAUUUGGGUAAUUUGAAAUAUUUCUUAGGAAUAAUUGAAGUUGCUCGUGGGAAAGAUUAUAUUGUCUUCAGUCAAAGGAAGUAUGUAUUGGAUUUGCUGGCAUAAACAGGUAUGCUUGAUUGUAAACUUGUUGAUACUCCUAUUGAGCAGAAUCAUCGGUUAGCAGAGUAUUUGGAUCAAGUGCCUACAAAUAAAGCGAGAUACCAGAAGUUAGUUGGCCGGUUGAUUUAUUUGUCUCACAGCAGAGCUUAUGCAGUUAGUGUGGUGAGUUAGUUUAUGCAUAAUCCUAGUGAGGCUCAUAUGGAAGCUGUAUUUCGUAUUUUGAAGUAUUUGAGGUCUGCUCCAGGGAAGGGAUUAAUCUUUUCAAAACACAGGCACUUGGAUGUUUCUGGGUACACAGACGCAGACUGGGCAUGUAAUAUUACAGAUCGCAGGUCUACUUCGGGCUACUUCACUUUCGUUGGUGGUAAUUUGGUUACUUGGAAAAGUAAGAAGCAAAAUGUGGUAGCUCGUUAUAGUGCUGAAGCAGAAUAUAGAGGAAUGGCUCGAGGACUUUAUGAGAUGUUGUGGUUGAGACACUUGUUGAAAGAUUUGGAAUUUCGGCAGAAGAAGACUAUGCCACUUUAUUGUGAUAAUAAGACUGCUAUUGAAAUUGCUCACAAUCCUGUUCAACAUGAUCGCACAAAGCACGUGGAGGUAGAUCGACAUUUCAUUAAAGAGAAGUUGGAUGGUCAGAUUAUUUUCUUUCCUUUUGUCCCUACGGAGGAACAAUUGGCUGCUAUUCUUACGAAAGCUCUCUCAAGUAAAGCUUUUCAUGACUCUCUUGACAAGUUAGGCAUUGGUGAUUUGUAUGCGCCAACUUGAGGGGGAGUGUUGGCCUGAGUCAUACCAUCUAAUAUUAGGAUUGUGAAUAUUCUGUUAGUAUUAGGAAUGUUAGUAUUAGGAAUAUCCUGUCAUAGUUAGUUUCCUAAUAGGUUUUGAUAUCUCUUGUAUAUAUACUCCGUUCUUGGAGAAUGUUAAUAUAUCGAAACAUUCAUAUUCUCUUGAUACCGUUUGACUGUUGUCAUACAAGCUAGACUUCCAUCAAAGGUUACCUUUUAUACACGCGGUGCAAGUACAACGACUUCACUAUGCCAAGCAAUACAUCGCUCAUAAAGGAUGUGAGGCCCCAGCCUUUUUUUUCCAUGAAUUUUCUCAUUCCGAUCUUUCCACUCUCACAUCAAGGCAAACAACUCGAUCUGUCUGUUGCUUCCUUCUUUGGCUACUAACCCCAACAAAUCAAAAAAACAUUGCACUCUUCAUGUCUUAUGAAAGCCAUACAACUAGCUGAGUUUCCAGAUUUUUCUUACCACUGGGCACAUCCAUAGACUAUGCUCUACAGUCUCCUCUGAAUAACCACAUCUAUUACGACAUUGAUGAGGAGUGAUCUUGAGUUUAAACUAACGCUCAGCACACGACAAGAAAUCUUUUCCUUUAGUUUUGUUGGAAUGGUCAAUAAAAAUCUUUUUCAGUUGGAGUGGGCACUGACUCUCUUUGUUUUUGUUCAAAAAGUUAUUAGCCAAAAAAAAAAAAUUUGGCCUCUAGAAUUUGAUGCAUGAGGUUGUGACAUCUUAGGCCUCACCUCAAGUCGGGGUCUGUGUGAAGAUAAUAGAGCGCCCUAUCUUCUUCUAGUUCAAUGAGCAAGUUUCUCCUCUCCUAAGUGGUGCCAAAAAUGUGGGUCAUUUAGCGUCUCUAACAGUUGCUAGACAAAGCUUGUAUGGAUCAUUUCCUCAAAUUUCUUAUCAGUCUCAAGAAAUCUCGAGUUGAAUGUGCUUCAAAACUUGCGAUCAACUUCAUUUUUUUUAAAGAAAAUAUUUCAUUAAUAAAACUCAGGCCAAAAUGGCAACACAACACUAUUACAUUAGACAUAUUGCUCACUUAUUUGUGAGCUUAGCAGAUGAUUAAAUUAGAUAAAAAAUAAGAUACUAGGGAAAACAUAAAAAUGAAGCCAAGGUGCUCAAUUGCGGUACGCCAAGCUUUAUGUAACCCUCUAGUUGCAGCUAGCCCGCACAGUCUGCGAGCUCAAAUACAGAGAUCUAACUUAAACCAUUUUCCAUUUAUAAUCAGGCCCAACAGCCAAACUCCAAAUCAUACCUUGUUUAAGCUUGAGUUCAGAUACAUGCAAAAACAAACAAACCCAUUUCCAAACCCUACCUAAUUCAUGUUGCCCACCUUUGCCUGCAUCGCCAUCCUUGACGGCGACCAAAACUGGAUCAGCCACCAACACUUUUGACUAGUCUGCCGGAGUCAUCAUCAGUCUUUGUCUAGUGGGUGCACAAUGUGUUCCUCUUCCGGUAGAUACCAAAUUGUUUGUUGUCUUCUUUAGAAAUACCAAUGGCCAUAAAGCCACUGUUUUGCAGCUAUUCUCGAAUUCGACCACGGUCUGAAACCUUGCCUCCGCUAGCACUACCCAACCUUCUGUCAACUCAAUUGCUGUAGCCAAACGCCACCACAACUGAGGUUCUUGAGUCCUCUUGAGUGAGAUCCGAUCAGAAUUGGUAUGGAGGACUUUUGGAUGAAUCGUCCCUGGAAGACAUUCACCAUUGAUUGUUGAAGUAAGCCAUCGAGAGGUAAAGGACAAGCCACUGCUUAGUUGUGACGACGCGCGUCCUUGAUGAAAAUCUAGGCCGCGACUGCUGGCUGGGAUUAGUGAAGGGUUGAAACCCUAGAGCGAGAAAACGGUGGAGCAUUUUUUGGUUUUUCUUUUUUCGAUUACAAAAGAAACAAACAAAAGCUAAAGAGCAAAACCUCUCUGUAGUCCCUUCCCAGCUGAUCCAAAUGGAACGCUGGGGACACUGACAAGGGAAGAAAGGCAGUGAAACCAGACUAAAGGAGAAGAGGAAUGACCAAGAAAAGCUAAGCGAUAUGCUACAAAAUUCACAUUCCAAUGGACAUGCCGAAAUAUGCAACACUGGAACAAAGAUGCUAGCCAACCAAUAGCUUGAACAAUAGACUUUAUUGAUACAUGACGAGAUUUUGGCAUAUUUCAACAAAGAAUUCUGAAAAGGAAUAAACGUCGUCACAUUAAGAAGAAUGAUUUGAAUAUCGAUUAUUGGUAUUCAAAUAGGCUUCUUAAUGAUAAAAUCAUAAAUUACUCUUUUGGAUAUAUCGGGAUUCUCGAGCAAAAUCUUAGUUGAGAUUCCAAAUACAUAUUUGGAAUAAUAUUCUUUAGUAUCUAGGAUUUCAUAUCUUAUUUUUAUUUGGUUUCCUAGUUGUAGUCUAUUCUAGAUUAUGUUUUCUGAUUGUAGCAAGCUUAUGUUAUGUGCUCUAUAUAAAGCACCUCCUAGAUUGUAAUCGUAGGUGAUUGAUAUUAAUAAACUUAGAGUUUUCUUAUAUUUAUUGGUGGAUUCCAAAACAUCUUGUGGAUUCGAGAAACCCUAGUUUUGGGGAUUCAAGGCUGCGUGUUGGUGGAUUCCAACGUAUUUGCUAGUGGAUUCUAGCUUAUCUCAUAUGGCUUCUGAUGCUUGUCGGAGCUUCUUACUAUCGUGAUUACGCUUCCGUAUCAUUUAUACUCCAAGGGAUGGAAGCUUUACCAACAAGACAAUCAAUGAGGAUUUUGGAGUCACCUUCAACAAAACCUUUGGAAUCAAUUGCAAAUAGGCUGUAUGAAGACCUUCACGUAAAGCAGUAGCUUCAGCUAUCAGGACACUAGUAUUGCCAAAAUGAUCUCACAAAACAAAUCCAAUAGAAGCUUGAUGGUGAACUAUUGAAGCAUCAAAAUUCACUUUUAUAAACUCAGGAUCUGGAGGAUGCCAUUUGAUAUUAGAAUGCAUAAGAGUACUAGAGGGUGUUCGGCGAGGGUUAUGAUUAACAAAUGUAUAAUUAUUGCCAAAAGUAGUAGUAUGAUAGUAACAUUGGGUUUGCAUUAGCUACAACAUUCUGAAAAAUAAGUCGGUUGCAGACAUUCCAGAUAGACCAAGUAACCAUAAUAGCAUGUUGAAGCAUACUUUUAUCAACAAGCUGAAUUAAGGACUUCAACCAAUCCAAGAACGAUUGUGACCAAUUUAAAGGCAAACAAAAAGAAGAAUAGGACCAUACCGGUUGAGCAAAAUGACAAUGCAUAAAAAGAUGAUCAACUAUCUCAGAUUGAUUAGUACAAAAGGAGCAAGCAUUAGGGAUAUUAGGGUUAUAAACCGAUAAAGUAUCUAGUUUUAAGUCGAUUACGAAAUAAAAGCCACACAAAAAUUUUAACUUUGGGAGGUAUUUUUAAUUGCCAUAAUUUGGCUAAAAAGUCUGCAUUCAAAUGUUUGGGCUUAUUAUUUAAUUGUAUCCAAGAAGCAGAACUAAUAGAAAACAAACUUGAACUUCAAGGUCCCCAAAUAAAUUGAUCUGGACGAGGAUAUAAAGGAAGACCAAGUGUUAGAAUCUUAACAACAAUAUCAUGAGACAACGCAUUUUCUAAUGCUUGAACAUUCCAUAUAGAAUUUAGUAAUAAAAAGGUUAACAAUAUUAUUCCAGUCAAUUAAAUGUCUCUGAUCUUUAAGAAUAAUAAUGUAUAAAGGAAAGGGAAGUACCCAAUUAUACUGCUAGAAGAGGAUUGUUUGACCGUCACAAACAAUCCAGCGAAUGCCUUCAAGUAAGAUAUCACGAGAGUCUAAAAUGCAUUUCCAAGCAAUAGAAUGAGAAGUGUUUUUGCGAGCAACAAGAAAAGAAUCAUUUUAAAGAUAUUUUUUGGUAACAAGUUGAACCCACCAAUUAUCUGGUUGGAUUAAAAUCUUCCAUCCCAAUUUAGCAAUAGCAUCUCUAUUUUUCUUUUUUUUGAUUAAAUAGAGAACUAUAUUAAUAAGAGCAACUAGCCCAGAUUAAUACAAACAGGCCCGCAAGGGAAGCCCACGAAGGGGUACAAACAUAAUGUAAAACAAAUAGUCCAAACAAGAUGACGUGCUCGUUACCGGGCGUGCGACAAUUAAGAACCCUUUUUGACAAUCGUAGUAUAAGACAAAUAAAGUUCGAUCAAUCCGGGGACUAAGGGUGCUCAUGUAACAAUGGUCAUGAGAAAAGUCAGUGGGUAUCAAUACAAAUAUUUACAAGUAUUUAUUUACAAAUAUACAUAUGGUACAAUAGAUAAAAGGGGGGUUUUGAAGGUUUGUUCUAUGUUCCUACUAAAACAGAAAAUAAAAGCUAAACUAAUAUAUACAAGUGAUCGACAACUUCACACAAAACAAGAAACGAAAACACUCAAGAACAUGUAACAAAUUAUGCAAGACAUUCGGUACAGCAGUUUCUACACAUCCUAGACUUUAUUUCAAUUCCGACUCUAAUUUAGAGCCCUUCGCGGUUACUCCAAUCGUUAAGACUUCACAAGUAUUUAGAAUCAACUUCCCGUGUAAUCCUAAAUUGUAUGUUAACUCAUUUAAAGACACUUCGCGUAGAAAUUAAACAAGAGAACACAUAAGCAUAGUAAGCCGAAUCAGAAACAUGCACAAGGUAUGGCGUCACUCAUCCUAUUAACAUGCAAGUUUUCAGAAUUAUAAUUAACCACUUUUGAGCAACAAAGACCUAGACAACUUCGCGUAUGACUAAAUCAUAUAUCACUUUGGUAGAUGAAAUCACAACCCACAUAUCAACCAUGGCCUUAGGCUGUAUGCAACCAUUGAUUUUGCCUACUCAAUUCAGAAAACUAAUCGAAUACAAUCAAGAACAUAUUGAAACAUGCUGCCCUAAAUCUUGCACAGAAAAUAUCACAUGAACAAGUUUGUAACAAUCGUCAUACAUAAGUUAUAAAUAUCAGAAAAUCUAAACAUGUUACAAAACCAAAUCGGCAACCAUAAAAACAAACGAUCUUCAUAGACAAAGUGUCGUAAAAUUAUAGAAACAUAAACAGCCAUGAGAAGAAUGGAUAGCACUUUGUAGAAACCUUGAAUGGUUGCUGCAAAGGCGGUGGAAUUGGUGAUGGAAUUAUACACAACAAAAAGGGAGAUGGUGGUGGUUCGGCUAAUCUAGUUUCUGUAUAGGGUUUAUGGUGAGGAAUUGGUAGAGUUCCGGCUUGUGUUUGUAUGGAAGAAGUGAUGCCCAUUUAUGAAGCAAAGCAGCCUUUAUAUAGUGUCCAUAAAUUGCUCUUGGCCCUUAAUUCAAUCUUGAUCCAACGGUCCUCCUCGAUUGCACAAAGUCGGAUAUUUAUCUCCACUGAUAUUUUCCUUAUCUUCAAAGAUAUUUAUCUUAUCUCUAAAGAUAUUUCUAGACAUGUGCAAUAAUACUUUGAAUGUAGCUUGAAUCAUGUCCGGAUACAUUGCUUAGCCUCCAAGAGUCUUCAUAGUAAGGAUUACUUGUUCAAAUUGAACUUCUCUUUUUAGCUCCACAAGUUUGACUUUUCUCCUCUUUUUUAGAGUUGGAAUCCAAAUUUGCUUCUUCUUCCCUCCUUGGACUUGGGCCUCUUUUGGGCUUUCUACAUUUUUCUCUUAAAUCCACGAUUUAGCUGUCUUUUCUCGAUUUAUGCUCUUAUUGUCUCUACAAACACAAAACAUGUCAGAAAUGAUGUUAAUAAAGAAAUAACUUAGCCAAAUAAGGUAAGAAAACAUAUUAAGAACAUGGCAUAUUAUGCUUCUAUCACAAGAAGACCAACAAACAUAAACCUAAACUAGGGCCCAACCCUAAUAACACAAAGAUAUAACCAUUAAUCAACACUGUUGGAAAAGCAGCCGCCUGUCGGGGGGAUUUGCAGUGGAUCCAUCGCCGUCCUUUUUCCUUUGCUUGCUGCCAUGAAGUUGCGGACCUUCGCACCGGCACCCAUGGUGGAAUCUCGAGGGAUGUCCCCACUCAUUUGUCUUUGAGAAAGACAAGGUCGUUCUAGCGUCCAAAACACCGUUCAGAGCCGGUUCCGGGGACGUUUUCCUAGCGGCAACGGAGGGGUGGAGCUUACUACAAUUAGCAGAGGAGAGAGGAAGGUUUUGGAGAUUGAGAUGAGAUGGGUUGAAGAGAAGAGAUGGGAGGAAGCCUGAAAUGGGGACUUUGGCAGCCAUGGAUGGAGAUAUUUUGUGCACGGGGAGGGAAACAAACCGUAGAAACAUACCGCAAAAACAAAAUGUGGGCACUGGAACUAGAAGCCCGAACAAGGUCACACUCCCCCGACCCUCAAGCCGAAGAUCUAGAUUCGGAAGGACCUAGACCAGAGCAGGAGAGAAGGGAGAGUACAGGGAUCAAAUAUACUUUCUCUCUCUAGUUUUUAGAGAGAAGACAGAGCACGAGAGGAAAAAGGCACCCAGCAAUAGCUGCUCUAUUAAAUAUAUUAGUUGGCCUAAUACCAAACCCUCCAUGGGUUUUGGGAAGAGCUGCUUGAUUCCAAGCCACUUUAGCAGGGGAAUUGCCCCAAAAGAAAUGUUUGCAUUCUUUAUCAAAAUGAUCAAAGUACUUGGGCAUUUAAAACAAGAAAGAAUGUGAUUAGGCAUACUUGAAAUAUUUGAUUUAAUGAGAGUAAGUUUUCUACCUCUAGAAAGGGUACGAGCUUUCCAACUAGAAAAUGUGUUUUGGAUUUUGCUAACUACAAAUGAAAAAUUAACAAGAUCCCUCCAAUCUCUUGGCUCUUUGAACAUAUGUAUAGAUUAAACUUCAUUAAUCGAGAUAAAUAACGUCAUUUUUAUCCUAUAUUUAAUUAUGCUACUGCAUAAAUUGUAGCCAUAUCUGAGUCGAGAGUUAUCUUAAGGAGGCUAUCGAUUUUAUUUGGGCCGCACUAAUGACAUGAUAAUUUCAAUUUCUUGAAAAUAUCACAAUAUUAUCUUGGUAUGUUAAAUUAAUAUCGCUGUGUGAUAAAAACAAGAUUAUAGCAGAUAACUGUGUUUUUUAUUCCACCCUUAGACUACAAAUCUAAAUAAUUGUUAUAUAUUUUAAUAUUUUAUAGGUGAGUUUUGUACAUGGCCAAAGGCCCAAAAUACUACUCACUCCCGUAGUUGGCCUUCCCCAACCAUCAUCAAGACCCUAACUUUGAUUGGUGCCGACUUAUUUAAUCAUAAUGAUGAAGGUGGUUAGUCGUGAAGGAGGGAGGGCCGAGUUGAAUAAAAACGCGUUAAUAUAAGCAUCAAGUGCCAAACAUAACCCAUUAACCUUGUUUGAACAGAAAACCAAACUCCAACUGUUUUUUACUUGUUGCAAAGUGGGAAGUAGAAACUGGAAGAAAGGUUGGGAGUGUGUGUGUGUGUGUUUUGUUGACUGAGGAAAUAGCCGGCAAAGGCCGUCUCUUAUAUGAUAAUGAUAUAAAUCAAUAUUUAAGUUUUGAAUACGCGUUGAACAAUCAACCCAAAACCCACGCAUGAACAACCAGCCUGCGUCUGCUUCUGUUUCUGCUUCUGCUCCUGCUCUUUCUUGGUAAUUGAGCCGCAGUCAUUCCAUUCAUUACUCCAUUCUUGUUGAUCCCUUUUCUGGGUCUCUGUGUUUCAAGGUAUUCUGUACUAUUUAUUCAAAAAGUUUCAUACUUUCCGUAGCAGUAACCUAGUGUUGAAUUUUCCGGGUUUGUUUGUUAUAAAAGAGAAAUUCUUGUGUUAUUGGAUUGAAUAUGGUGACGUGGGUAUUGGGUAGCCUUGAAUUUGGAUUGGUAUAGUUCAUUGGGCUUGUGGUUGAAUCGGAUGUUUAUCUGUAGAAAUUGGGUAUAUAGGAUCAAGUAUGAGCUUGAGGAUAUUUGAUUGUUGAGGUUGAUUCUUUGUUAUAUAUUUGGGUAAAGGAGGAGGUCUUGACAAGGUUUGGAUUGGUUUUGGUUCUGGAGGGUUUUGGAGGGGAUAUUUAUUGUAUAUAGUGCAAAAUGGGUUUGAUAUGUGGCAAGCCUUCUGCGGUCGAAGAUAGCCGGGAAAGCCCACCAAAAAGAUCAUCUUUGGCUUCAAGUAAGAGACACUCGGACAUCAAGAUUCCACGGUUGAAUUCUUCUAAGAGAGAGGUUGUUCGUAGUAAAGAUAGGUUGGAUGGUGGUGCUGCAGCUGGUGCUGCUGUAAAAGUUAUGUUGAUUGACAAGGCAAUCAAUGGUUCUGUGCGAUUAUAUGAUGACCAGAAUAAGAGUAAGAAGAUAGAAAAUGCUGGGAUUACUGUUCUUGAUCAUCCGGGUUCAAGAAGAAUUCCAAAGGUUACUGUGGCUGAGCAGGUAGCGGCUGGGUGGCCUGGUUGGCUCUCUACAGCUGCACCUGAAGCUAUCGAUGGCUGGAUACCUCGUCGUGCUGAUACUUUCCAGAAGUUAAAUAAAGUAUGCUGUGUUCUUUACUUGAUUUUUAAUAUGCAUUUCUUCUUAUUCUCCCGUCUUGUGUUAAUAUAGAUCUUCACUUUGCUUUAAUAAUACUUAGUCCCGUUUGUCUUUUUAAUACUUAUUGAUUCUUGCUUUCUUCGUCAUUUUUUGGCAUCUACUUCUUUCAGAUUGGGCAAGGAACUUAUAGCAGUGUUUACAAGGCCCGUGAUGUCCUGAAUGAUAAAUUUGUUGCUUUGAAAAAAGUAAGAUUUGAUAAUCUUGACCCUGAGAGUGUCAAGUUUAUGGCAAGGGAAAUCCUUUUCUUGCGUAGGCUUGAUCAUCCCAAUGUAAUAAAAUUGGAAGGAUUGAUUACAUCUCGGACAUCUAGCAGCUUAUACCUUGUUUUUGAGUAUAUGGAACAUGAUCUUACAGGACUUGCUUCACGCCCAGGGAUUAAUUUCUCUGAACCUCAGGUAGUCUGACAAUUUUACAAAUCUGAUCAUUUUACUACUUUCGCCUUAGUUUUAUCUUUUUCUAGUGAUCUUCAUACCUAACAUGUACAAUCUUUAUGUCAUUAUAGCUUAAGUGCUAUAUGCAGCAGCUUCUGAGUGGACUUAAUCACUGUCAUAGUCAUGGUGUUUUGCACCGUGACAUAAAGGGGUCAAAUCUUCUUGUUGACAACAAUGGAAUCUUGAAAAUUGCGGACUUUGGCUUGGCCAGCUUUUAUGAUCCACAUCACAGUGUUCCACUGACAAGCCGUGUUGUAACUCUCUGGUAUCGACCUCCAGAACUUUUACUUGGAGCCUCAAAAUAUGGGGUUGCAGUAGAUCUGUGGAGCACUGGUUGCAUUUUAGGAGAAUUAUAUUCUGGAAAACCUAUCCUUCCAGGAAAAACAGAGGUAACAAAUUUACAAAUUCCCCCUCCUCUCCCCUUCUCUGACAUGCAUGCAUCGUUUAUGACCUAGUGGGCUGCAUUGAAUCAGAAGUAUACUAAGGAAUUAGAUCAGCCUCAAGUAUAAAAUGAAUGAUGAUCUCUCUAUGUGAUUUGAAUCAACCGGUUAUAGAGGGAGAACCAGGCAGAUUGUACUAGUCUUAUUUUAAAUUAUGGCUUAUAUUGACGUUGUUGAGAUUGGAAGUUGCAUGGGAGGACUAUGUUUGAUUCCAUGUAUCAAUGCUAAUGAAAGAAACUUGAUUAGAUAUGAUAAUCGUUUUAUCCACAGAGUUUAUUUUUUUUGACUCAUUACAUCUGGUCAUCUGCGAUAAUUCUUUGAGCUAAUAGUUUAAUUGAAAAUUACUCAUCAUUAUAUAUGGAAAAUAUAGUUGACCAAUCAUUGUUAUGAGUCAACUGUAAUAAGGAAAGACUCAGUCUUUUAAGCUCAUAUGUUCUGCAGAGGUACAUCUGUUUACUGUCGUUUCAAAAUUGAAGUGACCUUUUCCUUCCGUCUUCUUUCUGAUAAAAUGUGCACAUAUGUUAAGAAAUCUGUUGGUUCCAAUUUAUCAUCAAUGUAUUGUAUGGUGCCUUUAAGCAUCUUAUCUGUAUUUUAUUUUAUUAUUAUUUAUUGAGUAGUUUAUCUGCUUGUUGUAGGUGGAACAGUUGCAUAAAAUUUUUAAGCUCUGUGGCUCGCCAUCUGAGGAUUAUUGGCGGAAAUUACACUUAAGGCAUUCAACAGUGAUUAGACCCCCACAACCAUAUAGAAGAUGUGUUGCAGAGACUUUUAAGGACCUUCCUACUACUGCUCUGCAGCUUAUGGAAAGUUUACUAUCCGUGGAUCCUGCUAAUCGAGGAACUGCUGCUAUUGCUCUCAAUAGUGAGGUGCGAGGACAUAUAUAUAUAUAUUAUGCAGGGGAGAUAUAUAUAUAUAUAUAUAUAUAUAUAUUNNNNNNNNNNNNNNNNNNNNNNNNNNNNNNNNNNNNNNNNNNNNNNNNNNNNNNNNNNNNNNNNNNNNNNNNNNNNNNNNNNNNNNNNNNNNNNNNNNNNNNNNNNNNNNNNNNNNNNNNNNNNNNNNNNNNNNNNNNGGCCCCGACCACUUUCCUUUCCCGGCGAGUCCGCCGAAUUCCAGUUUUCCGGCGAGAUCGAUCUUGUCUGAAGUUUUGGAUGGAGGUUGCUGCCCAGACCUUCAAAUCGAUCUCGCCGGGAAGGGAAAGUGGUCAGGGACGCCUCUGGUGUCUGCUCGGGUGGAGGCGCGCCGUCGUCGGCGCCGGACGGAGGCGAACAAAGGGACAUCCGCACUUUAAGCCCAGUGCGGACGUCUGCUUCAUAGCGGGCCUGUAUAUAUAUACAGUCCUUAUCAGGUCCAAACAUCCUUAUUUAUUCAAAAGGUACGGAUUUUGCCCAUAGAACCACUUUUGGUCAUAUUUUUUGAUCAUAGCCAACUAGUAUCUAGAUAUAUAUGACAUGAUCAUCUCUGCAAAAUUUCAGCUAAAUGGUGAUCGUUAAGGUAUUGAAACUAUAUGAUUACAAUGAAGGAACCAAAUCUGUUCAACUGGAACCGUUCGUGUAAUUCAUAGUUUAAAAUACCUUAAUGAUUAUCAAUUGGGCUGAAAUUUUGUAGAGAUGAUCUACUCAUAUAUACCUAAAAGAUGAAUGGUUGAGAUGAUAAAAUAUGAUCGAAAAGUAUGUCAAUUAAGGAAAUCCGUACCUUUUGAAUAAGGAGGUUUGUAUCUGAAAAGGCCUGUACACACACACACACACAGAGUUAUGCAUGUAUAUAUAUCAGUGGUCCGUGAUUUGUUUUCUUCUGGAACUGUUUAUUGAUAAUCAAUGGGAUCCAUGAAUUUCUCUAGCUUUACUAACCAUAUGUAUAUAUAUUUUUUCUGUAGUACUUUACUACCACACCUCUGCCUUGUGAGCCUUCAAGUUUGCCCAAGUACCCCCCAAGCAAAGAGAUUGAUGCAAAACUGAGAGAAGAAGAAGCUAGAAGGUACUCCUUAUUACCUAAUAUCAUUACUCGUUUGGAUAUGGUACAGGAAUAAUGGAACUUUAAUUUAUGGAACACUUCUUUAGGCAAGGAGCAAUUGCAGGAAGGGCCCAGAAAGUAGAACUCUCAAGCAGAGGACCGCCCUCAGCAAUUUCUGCAUCAAAUGCUAAUGCUGAGUCAACUACGUCAGCACAGGUAACUUCAAUUAAGUUCUCAAUCCUAGUUUUGCGGCAUGAAGUCUUAUCUUGGUUAAAUUAAAGUUAAUUUUAAAUCUGGUGAAAAUAUAAUUUCAAAAUAAACUUUUGAAUUUAGUUUAAUGUUUUACCCUCAGAAAGAGAAACUGAGAUAAGAAAGUUCAAUAGUGGAUCGCCAAAAGAGACAUUGAUGUCAGAGGAAUGGAACUUUACUCUUAUAUUAAACCUAGUGAAAGGAUUUACAUUAUUACAACUGUCUUAAAUCUGUAUAUUAUGGUCUUUUACAGCUAUUUCUCGUUUGUUUACUCAUCACAUGGAUUGCUAAAAUGUAUGCCAUAGCAGGACAAAGUUUUGUUUUGACUACCAAUUCAACGUGGCCCCUUCUUUUCCGAACUCUUGAACUUUAUCUCUUAAAUUCUUAAUUCAAUCUGAGAGUUAGUUACAACUGUUUUGCGGCAUGAAGCCUACUUCUUGGAAUUUGUUAUUUCCUUUCUCGAGCAGUGAAUCCUUCACUUGCAAAGUUGCAAGUGUCUCAGGCUUGUGGUUACUUAUAUUUUCCAGGAUUUAAAUUCAUGCUGUCUGUCCCCUUUCAAAAAAAAAAAAUCAUGCUGUCUAAUCGGAUGCUAGAAGGAAGAUACUAGGAAUAUAGAUGUGUAUACCAUAGCGGAGGUUAGCUGGCUCUGCUAACGAAGGCCAAUUGAUUGAGUGUCACAAGUCAGAACAAGUAGUGUGUUUUCCGUAGAAUCUCAAUUGUUUCUUCUGAUUAUCAUGAUUAAACUGCAGCUCUUUUCAAAAUUUCUUGGAUGUUACUUUUAAUUUCACGUUCCAAAAUAAACUUUUCUUUUCUUUUCUUUUUAAUACAUAUUUCGAGGGCCUUUGUUUAUUGAUUGGAAUAUUUCAUCUUCAACAUAUGCACAUCUUAUAUUAUUAUUUUUCUGUUCAAUUGGUUUUUUUAGAUAGCUUUAAUUGAUUUGUCGUUGUUUUUGAAACUGAGGUGUGCUCAUAUAAGUUUCUAAAAUGCAUCUGCCCCUGUUAUAUUAUGUCUGAUGCCAGUUCCUAUCUACUCACAGAAAAGACAAGGAUAUUCCAAUCCAAAUAUCCGAAGCGAAAUGUUCAAUCCUCAUAGGGAAGAAGCUGUUUCUAGCUUCAUUAUCGAUCCAACCAAACAGUUGCGAACGGAUAAAGAUGCUAGAAAGGAUUUCUCAGAGCACCGUAAUAAGAGGACUUCAGUAUCCGGACCACUCAUCCAUGGACCUGCAUGGGCUAAAUCUGGGAAGGAACUUGGUGAUUCUAAUAGAACUAACUUGUCAAAAUUAUCUGGUUUAGUUUUGGCUAGGACGACAGCUCCUUCUGAAGAUCAAAAAGAGAGACCAGGUACCUCACGGCCUGAAAUAACAAGACAAGUAGGCAGAUUUCAAGGGUCAUUUGAUGGAGAGGAUUUCACCAAAAAGCAGGAUCAGAUGCGUCACACGCAGAGAAUCCCUAGUAGUCAUCAGAUAGAAGAUGAGAAAGCAAAUCUGGUCAGUUUUAUUUUUCUCUACAACAUCUUACCUGUCAUAAAUCACUUUCAGUUUUUGUUGGAUAUACCCUGGAUUCUUGUCAGAUUCUCUUUCAUAAUUAGUUGAACUUGAGUUGUUCCUCUGAUUUUUUUUUUUCAGAGUGGCCGUGGUCCCAAGGGGAACAAAAUUUAUGUCUCUGGCCCAUUACUUGUUUCGUCAAACAAUGUUGACCAGAUGCUUAAAGAGCAUGAUCGCCGGAUCCAAGAAUAUGCUCGACGAGCGCGACUUGACAAGACUAGAUCUGGGAAGCAAGGGACGGGAAACUCAUCGUCUGCUUCAAGGCAUUGAGCUGUAUGAGCUAUGCAAUCGAACACAUGUAUUCACUGUUCUCAUCAAGUGUUGAGUGUGGAGCAUUGAGCUGGAUCCCUGGAUCCCCUUGACCCUAUAAAACACAUGCACAGGAGAAGAGAGAGAGCUAAGCUCCCCUCUAAUAUGGUAUUGUACCCUGUAUAGUAAGUACACUGAUGUAUAAGAGUACUGUAUUGCUUCAUCACAUAGUGCUUUACUUGGUAACUGGUAAGAAGAAAUAUCCGAACGGCCAAAUUUUGUGCUGUUGUAACCAGUCGCAUACUUCCCAGUUAGAAAGAAAAAAAAGGAGCGUCCAUAAUUUUGAUAGUUCCCCAUAUUGGUACAUAUAGCAAGUUUAUGUUGGAAACCUGGGACCUUUGUAUUAUUUUUGUUAUACUUGGGGACCCGAGUAUGAAUUCUAGUUUCCUGCAAUGAGAAUGCUCUGGUUGAGGUUUGAUUGGUAAGGUGAAAUGCAUUCUAUGGGCAACACUGAGUGAAGAUUCAUACAGCUAGUACUAAAAUAUAAAACAGGAACCAAGUACUUGUCAUCUAACAUGAUAAACCUACUUCACAAUUGAUCCUAAUUGUUACAAAAUACUGUAAUUAUAUAAUCCAGCACUAAUGUCACUGAAUCAAUACUGAGAUGAUGAUAAUCAAUGGUCAAAUGCUGAAGCUUAAGUUGUUGUAUCCCUUCUGAAAGCAGUCAAGUCAUGAUCAUAAAAGUCAACAAAACAAGCUUGAAACAUUCAAAUAAGUAUCACCGAUGCAAGGAAUAAUGGACACAGGGCCUUAGAGACAAACAUAAACACGUUUUCAAGUUUCAACAAUGAUCAACAAUUCUACUUUUCACAGAAAGGUCAAGUCAAAGAAGCAGAAAUCAGAAAUCAGUGUUCAGGAACAAAAGAAAGAAAUCAGCAUGCAUUCCCUUGUUUAACAAGAACGAUGAAUCCUUUCUGUAAGCUAUCUUUAAUGUCUUCUCGACCAACCUUCUUUCUCUGCCUCAAUACAUCAACCAUAAUCAUACAACUAACAUUUUUGAUCCUCAGCUGCUUAUCAAACACAGUUUCAUCCACCAAUGAGUUCGUCUUCAACACUAACUUCAACUCCUCCAGCCUCCUUCUCAAUGGAAAUGCCACAAUCCAAUCCUCCAUCCUCAGCCUCACAAAUGAAUCAACAACUUUCUCCUUGGGACGUGCUCUGUAUAGUCAGAAAAUCCGCACAAAACUCGCCAACUCGUCAUCUCCACUUCCCUUCUCGACCUCCUUCAUAUUCUCCCUUGCACCUGUCCAACAUCUCCAGCCCGGCCAUGGUUUUGCCUUUGUGUUCUUGCCCUUUUCAGAUUUAACUGGUGCCAGCUCUUCUCAGCAUUUGGGUUUAUUCAACUUCACCAACAAUGGUGAUCCCAAUACCAAUAUCCUCGGUAUCGAAUUUGAUGUGUUCAAGAACCAAGAAUUUGAGGAUCCUAACGAUAACCAUGUUGGUGUGGAUAUUAACUCACUCACGUCUAUUCGUUCAGAGGCUGCAGGCUACUGGACUAGUAGUGAAGAUGGUGGGAAUUUCAAGGAGUUGAAGCUCAAUGAUGGGAUCAAUUACCAAGUGUGGAUUGAUUUUCGGGGUUCCACUAUCAAUGUGACUAUGGCUCGUGCUGGUGUUAGAAAGCCUCAGAAGCCGUUGAUCACUGAGGUGGUUGAUCUUUCUAGGGUGCUUCUGGAUGAAAUGUAUGUGGGGUUUAGUGGAGCAACUGGGGCAUUGGUAGAGAGCCAUAGGAUAUUGUCUUGGAGCUUUAGUAAUUCAAAUUUUUCAAUUGGUGACGCUUUGGUCACUCAGAAUUUGCCUUCGUUUGUUGUUUCAGAGGCCUCUGUGUUUGAAUCCAAAGGGUUUAUUGUAGGAGUUAGUGUUGGUGGUUUUCUGGUGAUUUGCUGUGGGAUUUUCGUGUAUGUGCUUUUUGUGAAGACCAAACAGAGGAAAGGGGAUGAGGAAACAGCGGACAUUGAAGUUUGGGAAUCAGAGUAUUGGCCACACCGGAUUGAUUAUCAAGAGAUUCGGAAGGCAACGGAGGAAUUUUCAGAGAAAAAUGUGAUUGGAACUGGAGGGGUUGGGAAGGUCUAUAAAGGGGUACUGGGAGGAGAAGAAGUUGCAGUUAAAAGAAUUUCACAUGAAGGUGAUCAUGGGUUGAGAGAGUUCUUGGCUGAGGUAUCAAGCUUAGGAAGACUGAAGCAUAGAAAUUUAGUGGGAUUGAGAGGUUGGUGCAAGAAAGAGAAAGGCAGCCUGAUUUUGGUUUACGAUUUCAUGAAAAAUGGGAGCUUGGAUAAGAGGCUAUUUGAUUGCACCGAGACAAUGAUGUUGACUUGGGAAGAGAGAAUGAAGGUCCUAAAAGAUGUGGCUUGCGGGAUAUUGUAUCUGCAUGAAGGUUGGGAAGCUAAGAUUAUGCAUAGAGACAUCAAGGCAAGCAAUGUGCUGCUUGAUAAGGAUAUGAAAGCAAGGUUGGGGGAUUUCGGGUUGGCCCGAAUGCACCAUCCAAGUGAACUGAGUGGCACGACACAAGUGGUUGGGACGGUGGGUUAUAUGGCACCAGAACUGGUUCGAACAGGACGAGCCUCAGCUGAGAUUGACGUGUUUGGUUUCGGGAUAUUGGUCCUAGAAGUAGUCUGCGGAAGGAGACCGGUUGAAGCAGGGAAGCCAGGGUUGGUGGAUUGGAUUUGGACAUUAAUGGAAAGAGGGGAAUUGAUUCAUGGUCUUGAUGAGCGGUUGAAGAGUAACAGUGGAUAUAACAUUGAUGAGGUUGAGAGGUUUCUUCGUCUGGGUUUGUUGUGUGCACAUCCUGAGCCUCGUGGUCGUCCUACAAUGAGGCAAGUAAUGAAAGUUCUGGAAGGAGCAACAGAUAUAGGCACUGAUAAGACUGAAGGGCAACAAGGGGAAGGAAUUGAAGUGAAUUUACUGCAGAAAAUGAUAACAACCUCAAUGUGGUCUACUUAUCCACUGAAGCUGAAAGGAAAGGCACACCCUACAUUUGAAGAUAUUAAACAAUCUUUAUGUUCUUCUUCAUCGUUGUUUGGAUCAGACAUAAUUCGAGUUGGUAGAUGAACAAGGAUGUUGUUAGGAUUUGUUUUCUUUCGUUUUGCGUGUUCCAACACAUUAAGAGUUUAAGAUUAGUGCAUUCUUUUAUACCAAAUUUUGCAAUACAUUUAAAUUCUGGAUAUGGAUGCAUACAUUAAUCAACUUGUCAAGUACAAAUUAAGCAACAUGGAAAUCCAACAAUCCAAUAAAGAAAACAAAAGUUGGAGAGCAGCAUAUAGGCUUUUGUUUUGAGAUUUAUAUCACAAACUUAAAGUAUAUGCAGUUUCAUGAAGAACAGAAAGAAACUAUUAGAAAGGGGGACACAGAAGAUAUGUAGCAGUAAAGAACGGAAAACUUAAAAAAGAGAUAACACACACAGAAAACUUUCGUUAAAGCAUGCUGCCCAUGUGAUUAAGAACCACACACGGAAAAAAGAAAAGAAAAGAGAGGAUGGGAUAAACGAUAACCAACCUGUCCGAUAACUAUACAACCAUCCCAGUCAGAACAUGCUGCUCUUAGUCGGGCACUGGUCAGAUCCUAGAGAAUGCGCACGCACCAAAGCUCCGCACACUAUGGAUUGAACAGUUAACACCAUGAUGCACAGAAGCAGAGCUAUUUUCUUCCUCUUGACGGAGAUCAGGAAAACUUGUUAUGAGCAAAAGGAAUGAAAAGCAAAGAAAAUCGAAUGUGAGAAUGCUCUUCCCUCAAAAUCAAAUUUAAUUUAAAACAUGGCUCGACAAACAUAAAUUACAAUGACAUGGUCUUUCUCCUAAUGAAACCGCAGUACAGAUAGCCUAGUGCCUCAAACUGGGUUUUGAAGGAUAAAUAAUAACAGUGAUGACUGUCCAUAAGACACAUUUUCUUCCGUCCAGUAGUUGUGAGUGAAAGCCUGGCCUCCCUACUGGAUUUCAUGCAUAAAUAAAUGACACUGAUUCUCCUUCCAUCCUGCCAAACCGCACCACUUCACUAUGUUUCAGGCACAAAUAGACAGAUCAACAAGAGUUAUUCACCUCCUAUAAUAGGAGUGGAACCAAUUUCAAUACCAAACAGUUUCAAUGUGUUGUGGUUGAGGGUGCUGUUGGCCAUAUUCAUCAACACAUCUGCUGCUGCUUCCUCUACUUGUGUGAGCCCAGUAAUGCGCCUUCGCUUUGCCUUUGAUGAGUCCUCCUCCUGUUUCGAUUCUUCUGCGGUAGCGGGAGGUUGUUUUGAUUCUUCUGCGGUAGCGAGAGCGAGAGCUUGUGAUUCUUCUGCGGUAGCGGGAGGUUGUUUUGAUUCUUCAGCUGCGGUGGGAGGUUGUUUUGAUUCUUCUGCAGUAGCAGGAGUGGUGGAAGGAGUGGCUUUCCUCUUCCUGUUGUUGACAGCUUCAGCGGAUGAGAAUGCAGCUGCUGCUAACUUGUCAUUCUUUCGGAGUCGACAAAUGACAUAAUCUCCAAUAUCAGCAUCAAGCAGACUAUACUCAUCCAAAUACCAACAUGCAUGGUGUGGGGAGCCAACCUUCUCAUACCUCAACUUCCUCUUUCGGCCAAUAGGAUUUCCAGUUCUGUCAUCAACAAUGGGCUUGGAGACAUCUCCUUCACUCCAAGUACCGCCGGAUCCAACCUUUCGCCCAAUGCGUGAGCCCUUGGGGUUUACCUUCUUCAAUUGUGUAAAGAAGAACAAGUCCUGGUUACACAAUUCAGCUCCCCUAAACAUCUCCCAUAUUUCCCAAGGCUCCGUGCUCCCAAAAAGAUCAAACUCAUGCAAAAACAUGUUCUCUUUCUUACCUACCUCCACCUCCCUUGGCAGCAGCGUCUCAUCCUCCUGGUUGUCUUUCAUGUACUCCAGUAACAGCAGCGGAGCUGCUUGCAUCUCUCCCUCCGUUUUCUUCUCCUUCCCCUUGUCCUUUUUCUUCUCCUCCUCCUCCACUGGUACCACCGCCGCCGCUUCGUUUUCGCCGUUGUUCUUCUUCUCCUCGACUUCCGGAGGCGGCGCUUGGCCUUCUUUCUCGUUGGUGUUGUUCUUGUCCUCUGGAAGCUCCGCUUGUCCCUCCGCCGCCGGUAAGGCCUUAAUUUUCUCCUCCUCCGCCUCCGCCUCCGCCUCCUCCGCCAUGAACAUCGCUAGCCCUCUGCCGCCCUUCCCCUUGUUCUUAUUAUACAGAAAGUAACAGAUCAGCUCCUGAUCGGUAGGAUGGAACCUAAACCCCACCGGAAUGGGCCCAGAAGCCUCCAUCGACGCCGCCACCGAUAUGGCCAACGAAUCCCUAUUCCCUCCCGUGCCGCCGCCUCCAGAUCUGUUGUUCUCCCGCAGCCGGCAAAUGACGUAAUCGGCGGAUUUGAUGCCGUCGAGGCUGUACUCCUCCAUGUACCAACAGCCGUGGUGGUCGGAUGACUUGUUCUCAUACCGGAACUUCCUCUUGCGGCCGAUUGGGGUUUUGUUCUUCUUUUCCCCGACGAAAAUGGGUCUGGACGGCUCGCCUUCGCUCCAAGUCCCCGUCCCAAUCUUGCGAUUAAUCCGCGUGCCGUGUGGGUUCACCUUCUUCAGCUUCGUGAAGAAGAACAGGUCCUGGUCGUACAGAUCCGCUCCGCCGUGGGCUUCCCAAAUCCUCCACGGCUCCGUCUCCCCGUACAGAUCAACCUCCGGCACCACCGCCGCCGCCUCCUCCUCAGCUGGGCCCUUGAUCACCUUGUUCUUCAGAUACAGGUAGUGCCGGAUGAGCUCCUCGUCCGUCGGGUGGAACCGGAAACCUACCGGAACGUUGGCCAUCGUCUCCCGUUUGACUGGGUUUCCAAAUUUGAAAUCCAAAUUGAAGAAAUUGAGAGAGGGAUUUUGACUAGCGUUUGCUCAGGUGGGAUUCGAGGAUAGAGUCUCGACCUGUUUGAACCGGGAAACAACAGAUUGCAAAACCUAAACCUCAUUCGUUUAGGAAUUGCAUUCCUUAAAGUGGUAGGAAAUUUCUUUAUUUUCCAUUUUCUUUCUUUUCUACGCUGCUGUCGUCUCCUUGUGCCAUCUGUCCGCGGAACCUCUCUAUUGUGUUUACCCUUCAUUUCUUCGGAAUUUACGAUUCCGCCCACUCUCCUUUUUGACUCCAUUCUCUCAUCUCUCUGGGCUCAUGAGCUUCUCUCCAAUUUGCUGCUCAUUUUUUCACUGGGUGAGUUUUCGGCCAAAGCUUGAGCAUUUGGCUAUUUCAAACUAACAGUGCUUAUCAGUAUGAUCCGUUGUCCCUUUAAAUAUAUUCCUAGAUCCUAACAACUGUGUAGAUACCCAAGAAACAAAGCUAAUGGUCCAUCCACGAUGGUGUUUUUUUCGCAGUGCUAAUUUUGAUGACAGUAUGUUUGAUUAAUGUGGUCAUGUAUAUGAUGAGACAAUUCUUUUCACAAUUUUAGUUAACUUGUGUUAUGUUUGUGUUUAAACAAGAUGGGAGCAUCUUUUGUACCAAAGCGCCCAUGUUUGUUGUGGCUAUUUCUGCUAUGUUUUUGAAAUCAGCUUUUGCCCACAUUAGUACAUUUCCUGUAUAAUCUGAAGUUCCUCUUCUACUUAUGUUUCAAGGGUUUAGUUGUCUUCCUCUAAAAAAAGGGUUUAGUUGUCUUGAUGUGUUUUGGGUUGUUACAGUGGCGUGCUUUAGUUGCACAGUUUUGGGAAAUCGGCAAAUAGCUCAACUUCUUGGAGUUGCUUGUUUUUUGGUGCUUUUCGGGGUACUUUGAACAAUUUAUAGGUUGGCCAGCUUUGUGGCCUUCAGCAACAUUAGGUGGUUUCUCUUUUAGAUAAUUUGGAUUUUCUAGCUCCAGUGGUGUGAUUAUAUUUGCAGUUAGAAUGUGCAGUGUGGCUUGCUUAUAUUUUCAUUUAGAAUGUGGUGCUGCAUUGCUUAUCCACAAGUAGUUUCUGCUUGUGAUCUCUUGUUCAACUUAAAUCUUCAUGCCUUAUCCCUGUGCAAUCCAAGUUUUCCUCAAAUGAAUGAGAGAGAGAGAGAGAGAGAGAGAGAGAGAGAGAGAGAUAGUGUGUGUGUUGGUUGCGGUGUGGGGACUCCUCACUGGAGCUACAGGUGCCAGAAAUAUGGGUCCUUCUUUUGUUUCUGAUGUUUGAUUUAAGAUUUAUCAAUAUGUGGACUAAUACAAGUUUAUGGUUGAUUUGCAGUACGCUGGGCUAACUUUGCAGUGUUGUUCUACAUAUACUUGUUGUCAAAGUCUUUUUCUUCCUCAGGUAUAGAAAAAUUCUGGAGGUCCUGUAUUUCAUUUGGCAUUACACAAUUCGAUUAAUAUCAAGAAAAUAGAACUUGUUAAGAAAUAAAAAAAAUAAAUAGAUAUCUGUUCAGCUACCAACGAUCACGUUCUUUUGUUCCUAAAUUUCAUCUGAUAUGGAUCUGCAGGUGGACUUUAUUUGAUUAUGGUUGACCAUAUGCCGGGCUAAUUUUUUCUUAUACUAUCUUCAGAUAUCUAUUAUCGAAAUCCUGUAAUCUGCAAGGUAAGAAAAAUUCUCAAUAUCCUGUAAUUCAUUUUUUCAUUUUACACAGUACAAAGACAAACAAAAACAUAAAAGCGAUUUUUGAAUGUAAGGAAAGUGAGUCAUACAUCUCAGAUCCUUUGGGGAAUCCUUUUGUAUUUACUCUUCCCCCACCUGUCCACCCCCACCUUCUUGUUAGAUGGUGAGAACAGAUUUUAAAGAUUUGUGACUUUCAUAUAUGUUUAUCCUCGUUUUGUUUUCUAUAUUUUCCAAUUUUCUUUAUUUUGAAAGUGUUUGUGCUAAAUGGGAUGCUGGGUUUGAUUUUUUUGCUUGAGUUUUCAUUGUUAUGGCUUGUGCAUGCAUGUAUCUCUUGGUGAAGAAGUCUUUUAUUCUUGAUUCCUGUACACAGGGAACAACAUAUAUAUAAGGUUUUGUUGUUAGUAAAAUUUUGAUAUUUCAGUGAGUUUGUUAGUUGUUGUUGUCUUGUGCGCUUUAGUUUCCCCACGAUUUUUGAAUGGCUCUUUCAUCCUUAGUUUUUUUUAUCACUUUUUUUUGACGGUUUUUUUUGAUUUGGUGUUAUUGUUAGCUGUCUUCUACAGAACUUCUUGUUCCCUGCCUUAUAAUCUUCUCCUGUUUGAGUAGACGAAUUAGUUUCUCAUAUACAAAAAUUAAAAAAAAAUCAACCAACCACAAUUUCAUUAAUCUAUUUUUGCGUUGUUUUAACUUUUGGUUUUAUUUAAGCAACCUUUGAGUUUUGUACUUUUGUUCUAUUUGACCGGGUUUAAGAUGUGAAGCAAAUGAAUCAUUCUGAUUUGAGAGACAUCACUUAAUGCCGUUUUUAUUUUAUAUUUAGAAAUAAAUCCUUGCCGCCCAAUUUUUUCCCUGCAGUUAUUGCUCUUUAUUUUCCAGUAUUCUGAAUAUAUUAAGCAGAGUUGGGUCCAUAAGCCUGCCAAAUUCGUUACUUCAUUUUGAUCUUGUUGUUGAACUACUAUUAUAAAUACUUUUGAAGUUCUCAUCAAAACAAUGGUAAAUGAUUACAUAGCCAUAGUCUAUUUGAAGCCUUAGGUGACCUGAGACUUCUUUAUAUGGAGCCAGAUAAAUGAUCUUUAAAAAUUUCAUCCACUUACUGAGCACUCUAUGAUGAGUUUCUCCUUCAUUAUGUAAUAAACACAAUGUGAAUUGUAGGUUGUUAUCUUUUGAUAUUCUUUAUGUCAUAAUUGUUCAUCUGUUCAGUGUAAGUGUCAUAAAAACCCUUUAUUACAAAAGUUUGAGUUUUAAUUAUCAGUGGCUCCGUGAAAAGUGUUAAUUUGUAACUUGUAUGUUUUGAAAGAUAAGUUAUUAGUGAAAUUUUGAGAUUUUUUGCUUGAGUGUGCAACAUGGGUUGACUUGGAGCCAUCCCAAGACAUUUUUGGUGUGAAGCCAAAGUUUUUCUGAUUUCUCAGUGAUUCCUAGAAGUCUAGAACCCUACUGCUGUGAACCUGGUACUUCCAUAUUCCUUGAUCAUUUUACUGUUUUUGUUCUACAUCAAUUUUUACUUAGAUUUUACGAUCCAAUUCUGAAAAAUACUUGUAAUUCCAAAAGACUGCAAACAUUGCAGAGGAUCGUACUGCAUCAUCAAUCAUGUUUUUCAUUUGGACAUUAUUCUUGAGUUAAUUGAAAUUUAACUGCAAAAGAUCAACUCUGAGGUAUAGAGAGUCCAAAUGUGGAGAGGGAUUUUGCUGACUAGUUGAAUUCUGUAGCUCUUCUUCCAUGACGAGGAAAUGCAGAUUGAGUGAGAAAGAAAGUGUCCAAAUGUGGAGGUCAUAGAUCGGUUCCUUUGAUUUACUGGUACGUUUUGCUUAUUUGGAAGGAAUUAGGGUUCUCAGAAAAAGAAAUGACAGAGAGGAUCGGUCUUAGAAAAUAUACCAAACAAAAGUAAUAUCCCAAUCAGAUUACAGCAAGGGCAAACAACCCAUCAUUCUGUUUAAUUCUUGAUUUUAUUUAGUUGUACACCACUGACGUCUCUGUGCAACACUCAAGGUUUUAUCUGAGCGCAUCUAGGACUAUUUUUUUUUUUUAUUCUGAACCCAUGACCUCAAAGUUCUCAAAGUUGUUGGUUAGACUCCCUAACCAACCAAGCCAUGGCUCACCGCCACAAUAAGGACUAGUUAUUUGUAAAGGCUUGUGUCUGUAAGAGCUUUGUGGCCAUGGAUAAAUCAAUUAACUUAACUAUUCUCUUAAAACAAAACAAGGAGGGCAACAAAAGCCCUCUGAGAAAAACAUACUUAUAAAGCAGUAAAGAACUUGUGUUCUUCCUAUUCUCUAAACAUACUUAAGAUCUGAAUCUAUCUCUACUCCAAAUAAUUUGAUUUUCGUGCCAGGUUGCAUCCUCUUUGUCUGAGCUAUUGUCUGAUCAGACAAGGUGUUGUUCUUCUUGUUGUUCACAUUCAUCGUCUCAUUACUUUGCUUUCUCAAUAGCUUUUUGUUAGUGACAGAUGACAAAGUCUCCUUUGAUUCUUGGCAUAAUGCACUGUAUGUUCUCUUGUUUCCAUUCCACUCAGACGAUGGUGGUGAUGAUUUAUCGUUCUUUCGCAGUCUACAAAUGACAUAAUCUGAUUCUGAAUCUAGAAGACUAUACUCGUCUAGAUACCAAUGACCAUGUUGCUUGGAACAUUUGCUCUCGUAUCGCAAUUUCCUCCUUCGCCCGAUAUGUUUUUGCUUUGCCUCAUCUUUAAUCAAUUUGGAGGCAUCUGUUUCGCUCCAAGUCCCACUCGAUCCAAUCUUGCGGAGAAUGCGUGAACUCUUGAGGCUCGCCCUCUUGAGCUUUGUGAAAAAGAACAAGUCUUGGUUGCGCAACUCAUGCCCCCCAUACAUGUUCCAGAUCUCCCAAGGUUCCGUGCUUCCAAAAAGAUCAAACUCGCACACAAUGUUUUUGUAACUGUAUAAUGAUGCUUCCUCAGUCACCUUCUUGUGGAGGAAGUAACUGAUCAACUGUUGAUCAGUCGGGUGGAACCUGAAACCCACGGGUGCAUAAUUCAUUGGCGACUCUUGCCUCAAUGAUAUCUCCUUUCUCUUCCUUCCUUUCCUGAUGUUCUGUCGGAGUCGACAAAGCACAUAACUUGCAGAAUUCAUUGAAAGAAGACUAUACUCUUCCAAAUACCAACAACCAUUGUGUUCAGACCCUUUUUUCUCAUAUCGAAAUUUCCUCUUUUGUCCAAUAGGUUUCUGCAUAAGCUUUGAAUCGAAUAUAAGUUUGCCUGGUUCACCUUCACUCCAAGUUCCACCAGAUCCAACCUUGCGCUGAAUGCGUAAACCAUCCGGGUUUACCAUCUUGUGCUGUGUAAAGAAGAGCAUAUCUUGGUCGUACAGUUCGGAUCCCCCAUACGUUUCCCAAAUCUGCCAUGGUUCUACAUCACCAUACAGGUCAACCUCAGGCAUAAUAUUGUUGUAAUUGAAUGUAGCCAUUGAUGGCACUUGUGCAGUUGUGUGGACAUUGUUCUUGUUGUCGAGGAAAUAACUGAUCAGUUCUUCAUCAGUUGGGUAGAACCUGAAACCCACCAGAUCAGAAGACAUCAACAAAUUAUUUUGUUUUCCUAGUUGGUGUUGCGCAAGUUGGAGUGCAGAGAUGUCGAAUUGUUAUGUUUGAAGUACUGAAUUGAUUUGCGUGUCAUCUUUUAUUUAGUUGCAAACAUAGAGUUUUAAUCUGUUUGAACUAGGAGAUAUAUAGUUCAUAACUUUGAUUCAACUAGGAAUUUUGGAAAGGUUAGGAAUACUAGUCUUUUUAGAUGUCUUUGACAAGAACAUCUCAAAUUUUAUCUUUUUAUCCAAAUAUGGUAAAGUGAGUCGAUAAGAAUUCUUCCAUUUGAAGAAUAUCCGGAUUUGUACUUUGAUAAUUAAGAAUUACAUUACGUUUUCUCAAAAAAAGGAAUUAAGAAUACAUAACAACUAUUUGUCACAAUGAUUAUUAGUUGAAUCACUUAAAUGGAGCGUUAUGCGAUCUCCUAAUCACAAUAGGAAAAGAUUUCUCAUGAUGUACAAAUGUCUUAUUAGACCGCUAUUUAGGAUAUGAAACAAUCAUGUAGUUUAAUGAGUCAAGUUCCCUUGAACGGAGGGGAAUAUUACUAUUCCUAUCAGGCACCAAGUAAUCUAUAUGAGCUCUAUCCAUUUUAACAGAAAAUACUACUCAAGAAACAAGUGCUCGCUCAUUCUUUUGCUUUUGUGAUCGAACAAGUUUUUGAGUUUCUCAUUGAAAAGUUUUGCAAUACUCAAGUAGUCAAGUUUUCAUCAGAAUUUUCAUAACAAUGACAUUCAUCUGAGUAGAUCAGAUGAGAGGACUGAUAGAAGUUUACUAAUCAAAAAAAUAAAAGUACACGAGUAUCAUCACCCCAUUGGGCCAAUCACUGUGAGCCUGCUGUGCUGUUAGUAGGAGAGUUUAUGCUUAUAAAAUAUUAAAUCUUGUGGCUUCCACUAGCAUCUUGCACCAGUGGUCUAGUAGUAGAAUAGUACCCUGCCACGGUACAGACCCGGGUUCGAUUCCCGGCUGGUGCAGUUUUUAGGUUUUGCAACAACCCACAUUUGUAGACAAUUAUGAGACUCCACACAACAAUUGAAAAGCAAACAUAAUUUCCUUUUUGAAUAAGAUUAUAUGAAUUGCUAACCCUCGUCAACUUAAACAUAGGAGAAUGCCCACUAGCCCUAAUUUAAGAAUUUUAUUCCUACUAACAAAAUCAAAUUUUAAAAUUUCCAAGAGCCAACUUAAACAGCAGAAAGACAAAUAUACCCUUAAUGAAUUAAAUAAACUACAAUAGACCAGAGCAGAAAUACAAUUAUACCUUUAAUAAAUUAAAUAAACUACAAUAUAUAGACCAUUAUAAGAGUCUAUUAUAAAAUAAAUUUUUUAUGACCGGAUUUCCACGACCAAUGACAUUGACCGGACUCUGGCAACCUUUGACCGAGCUCCGGGCACCAUUGACCGGACUCCGGGAGCCGAUGACGGGACUCCGAGGACCGUUGACCGUGCUCUUGGGAUCGUUGACGUGACUCCGGAGGCCGUUGUGCUUUAGUCACUUAUAACAUAUCCCUAUUUGGGGCAAUAUGCCCACCUACUGGGGUCAGUAGGACCUCCUACUAGGGGCAAUAGGACCAUCUAGUGGGGCAGUAGGACCUCCUACUGGGGCAGUAUGACCCUUGAACUUAACCGUGUGCUUCAGUCACUUAUAACAGGGCCCUAUUGGGGCAAUAUGACCACCUAUUGGGGGCAGUAGGACCUCCUAUUAGGGGCAGUGUGACCUUUGAACUUAACUGUGUGCUUCAGUCACUUAUAAUAGGUCUCUAUUGGGGUCAGUAGGACCUCCUACUAGGGGCAGUAUGACACUUGAACUUAACUGUGUGCUUCAAUCACUUAUAACAGGUCCCUAUUAGGGGCAGUAUGACCAUCUAUUGGAGUCAGUAGAAACAUUUCCUAUUAGGAAAAAAUCUAAAAUUAAAGAAGUUGGAGACAAACAAGAACUAGAAUCAAGCCAAUAAAGAAAAAAUCACGGCCAAUGUAUAUUCAAAGUCAUUACUAAUAUUCCACAUAAAACAAAUUGUUAUCAAUCAUAGGGUAGUAACUAGCUACUUUCCUUGGGGGCUUAAGGAAAUUGCAAGUGAUCAUCUCAAAGCACCGAUAAUCUUAUAGAUGCAUGUACUCAUAUUUACACCUACCGGUUCACUACUUCAAGUCAUUAAUUCACAAACAUAUCUCAAUAUGCACAUAUACAACCAGUAAAUGACUAUAACACGAAAUCUACAAAUAAAUUCAACCUUGAAUUUAACAGUAUAAUAGGUGUAGGAGAGGCCUUAAAAGUUUUCACAGCCAAGCUUGGAAAUAAAGAU
rnacentral:lncRNA from 1 species